UCUAAAAUGACAGAAAAUGCAUAAGACUUAACCCCUACUAGAAGACCACUCUUCUUUUAGAG
rnacentral:tRNA from 1 species